CCGUCCACCUGUAAAAUUCAUGCUGUAUUACUAUUUGCAUGUGCAAUAAAAACGUUUUCACUCCUGAUUGACUUGCCUACUAUGUUUGUCCUGCGAGGUUGGGCGCUGGAAAUAAAUAAAACCGUGAUCGAGAGCUAAUUAACCUUGGCUAGCUAUUUGCCAACUCGAGCAUUCACGAAACCGCCAUCUUAAAACGUAAUGUAUGUAUGCCGCUGCUUGCUUUUAUGCACGCAGAUUUUCUCGAGAGAUUGCUAUUUAAGAGCAGCCGUGAGCAGACGCGCAGGACACCACCAUCACAUGCAUGCACGCUGUGCAACGAAAAAUUGGGCCUCUACUGCUUGUGUCAGCCUGUCAGCUGGAUUAAUCUGCACGUGCACGCGACGAACUCCCGAGCGUGACAUUUUCUCAUGGCACGGCAUUCAGGAUCGAUCUUGCAAACGAGUACAGUACGUACAAUCGUUAUCAACGGAACCCUUGGAGCUAGCCAGGGUGAGAUAAAAGGAGUCAAACGAAGGCGUACGCGCCUGCCUGCCUUGACAAAAGAAAAAAAAAACAUUUUCAAUGCGUGACCAAGAACCAACCGUGGAAGAGUCAAACCUCUGUGGCUCUGUACUCUGUAGUACGGCGAAAUUGGUUUCUAGAGAUUUGACGCUUGCCUGCACUGGUAGGCAGUAGCCAUUACGUACCCCAAGGAGUAGGAGGGGGGCGUGGAUGGCUUGAUGGCGUGUGGAGUACUGUGGCUUCCAAGAGAUCGGUGACCAGCCUA
rnacentral:lncRNA from 1 species